UGGGGAAUUGUUCGCAAUGGGCGCAAGCCUGACGACGCAACGCCGCGUGGAGGAUGAAGAUCUUCGGGUCGUAAACUCCUGUCGAGCGGGAAGAACAGCUUCGGGGUAAAUAUCUCCGGAGCCUGACGGUACCGCUAAAGGAAGCCCCGGCUAACUCCGUGCCAGCAGCCGCGGUAAUACGGGGGGGGCAAGCGUUGUUCGGAAUUACUGGGCGUAAAGGGCUCGUAGGCGGCCAACUAAGUCAGACGUGAAAUCCCCAGGCUCAACCUGGGAACUGCGUCUGAUACUGGAUGGCUUGAAUUCGGGAGAGGGAUGCAGAAUUCCAGGUGUAGCGGUGAAAUGCGUAGAUAUCUGGAGGAAUACCGGUGGCGAAGGCGGCAUCCUGGACCGACAUUGACGCUGAGGAGCGAAAGCUAGGGGAGCAAACGGGAUUAGAUACCCCGGUAGUCCUAGCCCUAAACGAUGAAUGCUUGGUGUAACGGGUAUCGAUCCCUGUUGUGCCGAAGCUAACGCAUUAAGCAUUCCGCCUGGGGAGUACGGUCGCAAGGCUGC
rnacentral:rRNA from 1 species